CACCAGUUUGCAAUAGGUGACCUAACUUAUCAAUUUCCAAAAUCAUCAUGUAUAUCACCUGGACGGGUUAAUCCAUAAUACUCUUUUACUUUCCAUUGACUGGCCUUAGCUCUGGCAGACUGAAUAUUUUUAUCAUUAUAAAUAAACUUUAUGAUAGUUGAAGUAAAGUUUCUGCCUGUCUUUCAGUUAAAUUCUAACUGUUGAAGUAUUUCACUUAUAUUAAUU